rnacentral:rRNA from 1 species
UACAGGGGCCCCAAGCGUUAAUCGGAAUUACUGGGCGUAAAGCGUGCGCAGGCGGUUUCGUAAGACAGAGGUGAAAUCCCCGGGCUCAACCUGGGAACUGCCUUUGUGACUGCGAGGCUAGAGUAUGGCAGAGGGGGGUGGAAUUCCACGUGUAGCAGUGAAAUGCGUAGAGAUGUGGAGGAACACCGAUGGCGAAGGCAGCCCCCUGGGCCAAUACUGACGCUCAUGCACGAAAGCGUGGGGAGCAAACAGG